rnacentral:rRNA from 1 species
AGUGAACGCUGGCGGUAGGCCUAACACAUGCAAGUCGAACGGCAGCACAGGAGAGCUUGCUCUCUGGGUGGCGAGUGGCGGACGGGUGAGGAAUACAUCGGAAUCUACUCUGUCGUGGGGGAUAACGUAGGGAAACUUACGCUAAUACCGCAUACGACCUACGGGGGAAAGCAGGGGACCUUCGGGCCUUGCGCGAUUGAAUGAGCCGAUGUCGGAUUAGCUAGUUGGCGGGGUAAAGGCCCACCAAGGCGACGAUCCGUAGCCGGUCUGAGAGGAUGAUCAGCCACACUGGAACCGAGACACGGUCCAGACUCCUACGGGAGGCAGCAGUGGGGAAUAUUGGACAAUGGGCGCAAGCCUGAUCCAGCCAUACCGCGUGGGUGAAGAAGGCCUUCGUGUUGUAAAGCCCUUUUGUUGGGAAAGAAAUCCAGCUGGCUAAUACCCGGUUGGGAUGACGGUACCCAAAGAAUAAGCACCGGCUAACUUCGUGCCAGCCGCCGCAGUAA